UACGUAGGGGGCAAGCGUUGUCCGGAAUCAUUGGGCGUAAAGAGCGUGUAGGCGGCCAGAUAAGUCCGCUGUGAAAUCUCGAGGCUCAACUUCGAGCUGUCGGUGGAAACUGUCUGGCUAGAGUCCGGAAGAGGAGAAUGGAAUUCCUGGUGUAGCGGUGGAAUGCGCAGAUAUCAGGAGGAACACCAAUAGCGAAGGCAGCUCGCUGGGACGGUAUUGACGCUAAGGCGCGAAAGCGUGGGGAGCAAACAGG
rnacentral:rRNA from 1 species